UAUGGUAUCAACAUCAGGGAU
rnacentral:piRNA from 1 species